rnacentral:lncRNA from 1 species
UUUUUUCUUUUCUUUUUUUUUUUUUUUUGAGACAGGGUUUCUCUGUCCUGGAACUCACUCUGUAGACCAGGCUGGCCUCGAACUCAGAAAUCCGCCUGCCUCUGCCUCCUGAGUGCUGGGAUUAAAGGCGUGAGCCACCAUGCCCAGCUAAAGUGCUACUUCUCACAAGAAAAAAUUGCAGUAGUGCUGAAGUCUGACAUAGAGCCUGGUACACCUGUAUCCUGUACUCCUAGCAUUUGGGAGGCUAAGGCAGGGGGAUCAUCAUAAGUUCAAGGCCAAUCUGAGCUUCAUGUUCAGAAUUGAGACUCUUUCAAAAAAACACCAAAAGAAACCCUGGCCGGUUCAAUGGUUUUCACAUACAUGUUUGUCAUCAGAUUUCCUUUAUAUUAAAGAUUGGGGACACUCAAUGAAUUGGUUAUCCCAAGAUACCCUCUGAAUAAUUCCACUAUAUAUGCAUGAAAAUGAGAGUGAAGAUACUGCAGAAAGUCUUGAUUUUGUGAAACCUCCUGAGAGGGUUUCCUGAGCUGAUAGCAUGUGACCACAGUUUGAGGAUCUGCCUGGUGUUUAAGGACACAGCUCUGGAACUAGGUCUGCCGUGCUAUGGCACAUCCUAGCUGAGGACAAAUGAUUUCACAUUUCUGGCUCUCAGUUUCCCACAUUGUUACUCAUGGGCCAAAAACAAUACAGUUAUCUGCUACCCAAGGCUACUAUUUAAGUCCAGCAAGUCACUUAAACUGGACAGACUCAGUAUUUGUUAUGCUUCCAACAAACACACAGAUUUGUCUGGUAACUCUAGUUCAGGAAGCUGAAUGUUGAAGUGCAUGCCUGUAUUCCAUCACUUUGGAAGCUGAGGAAGGAGGAUCAAGGCAAAUCAAUUGCCAGCCUGGGCUUCAUAGAGUUGGAGGAAAUUCUGGGGCAAUUUAGCAAAGUCCCUGUCUCAAAGAUAGAAAAGACAGAUGACACACAGACAAUCACACAGAGAGCCACACCCUAGUUCAGGCUCUCAGGAGAUGAUAAACUAUUUGAGAAAAAAACCUUUUAUUUCAUGUAUAUAAAUGUUUUCCCUGUAUUCAUAUAUGUGUACCUUGUCCAUUUCCGCUGAUCCUCAGGAACCUGUGUUAUGGAUGGUUGUGAGCCACCAUGUGGGUUCUGGGAAUUGAACUCUUUCUUCUGCAGGAGCAAUGAGUGCCCUUAACCUCUGAGCCAUAUCUCUAGCCCAUACAUUUGGUUUUGAUGGAUGAGAAAGGUAAUUCACGUUAGGCUAACAAAAAUGCCGCUUUCAUAGUAUGGGUUUGCAGUUAAAGGGGCAACUAUUUGCCCUAAGCAUCCUUUGUGAGGCCCUAAACACAUAUUUGCUCAUUUUGGAAACCUCUGGCCUCCACCAAAGGACCAUUUCACCUGGUGUUAGAGAAUUCCACAAGGCACUAAUGUCUUAGUUCCAAACAAGAGAGUUAACCCCUGGUAUUGGUUGCAGAGACCACAGACCACCACCCAAUUUCCGCCAAAUGGUGACGUUUCCAAGAUGGCAGUAGCCCCCUGAUUGUUGGGGGGCUCUGCUUCCGUUUCCGGGACAGAAUCCGGAAGUGCCAGUUGAGGGUCGUCUUCCUAUCUUCAGUUGCGUCGGCAGUUGGAGGAGGACAGACGGUGAUGGCGGCGGUCGCAGCGGACCCAGCUGCAGCUGCCGUCCCGGCCUCUGCUGAGGACCGAGACACACAGCCCGAGGCAAUGCCAGACCUGGAUGAACAGUGGCGCCAAAUCGGGAAUGGGCGAGAGCGUCCACUGCGAGCUGGCGAAAGCUGGUGAGGCUGGGCUUCAAUGAAGCCUUGGCCAAGGGGACCUUGGGGGCGUUAGUAUCGCGGGGUACUUAGAAAUCAAAUUCUGAGGAUGAAGCGGUGCGAGGCUGGGAAGGGGCUUGGGCCGGCGGGAGAGAGGGGGCGUGGAAGUGCUAAGUGAAUGAAUCUCAACGUUUGGGGGAAAAGGCGGGGCCCGAGUGGGGCAGUCAGCCGCCUAAGGACAAAAUGGGGUUUGUGAUAGGGGUGGGGCGUGAAGGGGAUGGCCGUGGGAGUCAGGGGACUGCAUCGUUUGGGGAGGGGGUGAGAGGGGACUGCGUCUUGGAACCUGGAGCCUGGAAAGGAGGCUGGCUCCGUACUUAACGCGGGGGCGUGGCGUGUGUUACAAAACGUUGCGUCGGUUGCAAGGAACGGCCUACAAGUACUCGAAGCGCCUGUGAACCCGACGAGCUUGGUGGCGUCCGCUGAAGAGCAACUCCAUAGCCUAUAGCUGUGGGCCGAGGGGCGGAAUAGUGUGGUAUGGGGAGGGUGCCUGGCUCCUGGGAACAAGGCGAAGGGCUGGGGAGGGGCAAACUGUGGAGGAGGGGCAGUGCCUGGGGCAGAAAAUGGCGCCUGCAAAAGAGCAAAGAUUGUGACGCGGUAUUUUUUUUUGUUGUUUUUGUUAUUUUUUUAAUACCCCUCUAGUUAAGGUCUCCUUCCUAGAACAGGAGAAAGUGCAGGUGGUUUACAAAAGAUUAUUUGGGGAGUUUUUUUUUCCACGUGAUAAUAUUUUUGUAAUCAGAAAUGGCUAUUUAAAAGGGAUCCACAGCUUUUAACAAAUUGUCUUGUUAGACCAUUUUUUUUUAAAUGCUAAUCAAUGCCUCUUAAAAUUUACUGCUCCCCGGGUUCCUAUUUCUCUCUUGAGUUGCUGCUCAUUUUUAAUUGUGAAAAUCGUAAGACCUACAAAGAUUAUAGUAUAAAACGUUUUACAUAAAUGGACAUCCUGCUGAAAGAAAUGGUUUGUAUGCUUCAAAAAUGGCAAGGUCAUGAAAGGCAUACGCUGAAGAACUGUUCCAGAUUGAAGGAAUUAAUGCAGUUUAACAAGUCUAUGCAACACGUGAUCCUCAUUUGGAUCUAGCACAGGAAAAAUAAAUUAUUUUUAAAAAUGAGGGUUCUUUCUCAUAAUUUAUUUCUCUUUCACUGUAAAUUUUAUUGGAAAAAAAAUCGGUGAAAUUUGACAAAGGCCAGUAGAUAAAAUACUGGUACUGAUAAUUUCUUGUGAUAAUUGUAAUGUGGUUAUGAAAGAAUAUCCUUUGGUGAAAAAAUACAUACUGAAAUUUCAUAGAUAAGGAGCCAUCGUGUAAACAACUUACCAAAUAAUUAUAUUAAAAAUGCACAUGGGAGGGAGAAGAUUAUGGAAAUAUUGGUCAUAGGAUGUAAAAUUUAGUUAGACAAAAGGGAACAAAUUCAAGAGCUCCCUUGUACAAAAUGGUGAUUAUAGCUAAUAACACUCUAUUCUAUACAUGAAAAUUGCUUAAUAGAUUUUACAUGUUCUUACCCAAACAAACUGUGUGACAUAAUUGGUUUGUUAACUAGUUUGAUUUAGUGUUUUACAAUGUAUAUAUCAAAACAUGCUGUAUACUAUCAAUGCACACUUUUUUUUGUCUAGUUUAAGAUAAAUG